GAGUUUGAUCAUGGCUCAGAACGUACGCUGGCGGCACGCCUAACACAUGCAAGUCGAACGAAGUAGCAAUACUUAGUGGCAGACGGGUGAGUAACAUGUAGGUAUCUGCCCUUUGGCCUGGAAUAACACGAGGAAACUUGUGCCAAUACCGGAUAAGUCUUUACGGAGAAAGCUUUAUGCACCAUUGGAUGAGCCUGCACUUGAUUAGUUUGUUGGUGGGGUAAUGGCCUACCAAGACUGUGAUCAAUAGCUGAUUUGAGAGGAUGAUCAGCCACAUUGGGACUGAGACACGGCCCAAACUCCUACGGGAGGCAGCAGUGGGGAAUCUUGCACAAUGGAGGAAACUCUGAUGCAGCGAUGCCGCGUGAGUGAAGAAGGCCCUUGGGUUGUAAAGCUCUUUCGUCGGGGAAGAAAAUGACUGUACCCGAAUAAGAAGGUCCGGCUAACUUCGUGCCAGCAGCCGCGGUAAUACGAAGGGACCUAGCGUAGUUCGGAAUUACUGGGCUUAAAGAGUUCGUAGGUGGUUGAAAAAGUUGGUGGUGAAAUCCCAGAGCUUAACUCUGGAACUGCCAUCAAAACUUUUCAGCUAGAGUAUGAUAGAGGAAAGCAGAAUUUCUAGUGUAGAGGUGAAAUCCGUAGAUAUUAGAAAGAAUACCAAUUGCGAAGGCAGCUUUCUGGAUCAUUACUGACACUGAGGAACGAAAGCAUGGGUAGCGAAGAGGAUUAGAUACCCUCGUAGUCCAUGCCGUAAACGAUGUGUGUUAGACGUUGGAAAUUUAUUUUCAGUGGCGCAGCGAAAGCGAUACACACACCGCCUGGGGAGUACGACCGCAAGGUUAAAACUCAAAUGAAUUGACGGGGACCCGCACAAGUAGUGGAGCAUGUGGUUUAAUUCGAAGAUACGCGCAGAACCUUACCAACACUUGACAUGUUCGUCGCGACUUUAAGAGAUUAAAGUUUUCGGUUCGGCCGGACGAAACACAGGUGCUGCAUGGCUGUCGUCAGCUCGUGUCGUGAGAUGUUGGGUUAAGUCCCGCAACGAGCGCAACCCUCACUUUUAGUUGCCAUCAUUAAGUUGGGCACUCUGAAAGAACUGCCAGUGAUAAGCUGGAGGAAGGUGGGGAUGACGUCAAGUCCUCAUGGCCCUUACGUGUUGGGCUACACACGUGCUACAAUGGUAUCUACAACAGGAAGCAAGACUGCGAAGUUAAGCAAAUCCUUAAAAAAUACCUCAGUUCGGAUUGCACUCUGCAACUCGAGUGCAUGAAGCUGGAAUUACUAGUAAUCGUGGAUCAGCGUGCCACGGUGAAUGCGU
rnacentral:rRNA from 1 species